rnacentral:rRNA from 1 species
AUUGAACGCUAGCGGGAUGCUUUACACAUGCAAGUCGAACGGAGUGGCGGACGGGUGAGUAAUAUAUCGGAACGUGCCUAGUAGCGGGGGAUAACUACUCGAAAGAGUGGCUAAUACCGCAUACCAUCGGAGGUGCCCAUAUGGGAUUAGCUAGUUGGUGGGGUAAAGGCUCACCAAGGCAACGAUCCGUAGCUGGUCUGAGAGGAUGACCAGCCACACUGGAACUGAGACACGGCCCAGACUCCUACGGGAGGCAGCAGUGGGGAAUUUUGGACAAUGGGGGAAACCCUGAUCCAGCCAUCCCGCGUGUAUGAUGAAGGCCUUCGGGUUGUAAAGUACUUUUGGCGAGGAAGCGGUACUUGCAGAAUAAGCACCGGCUAACUCCGUGCCAGCAGCCGCGGUAAUAC